rnacentral:rRNA from 1 species
UACGUAGGGGGCAAGCGUUGUCCGGAAUCAUUGGGCGUAAAGAGCGUGUAGGCGGCCAGAUAAGUCCGCUGUGAAAUCUCGAGGCUCAACUUCGAGCUGUCGGUGGAAACUGUCUGGCUAGAGUCCGGAAGAGGAGAAUGGAAUUCCUGGUGUAGCGGUGAAAUGCGCAGACAUCAGGAGGAACACCGGUGGCGAAGGCGGGUCUCUGGGCCGAUACUGACGCUGAGGAGCGAAAGCGUGGGGAGCGAACAGG